ACUCCGGCACAGCCAUCGCGCGAGCCAAGCGAGGAGGACGCUUUGAAUCUGGGACCUGCAGUAUUGAAUAGAGGAAAGUUACAUCUACAGUUGGUCCGCGAGCAUGGCGAGCCGACAACGACGAUGAAAUAAUGCAUUGGCCCAUUGCCUGAUGAAGAAGAUGAGAGAAGUGAAGAUUAUGUACGCUGAAAUAUUACAGAUCAUCGAUGCACAGGGUAACCAUCCUGCCACCACCAGGGAGCUCUUGGUUGCACUGCAAUCAGCGAGGCCUUGUCAACUCGCUGAUGCCACUUAACCUCUAUGGCCUCUCAUUGCUCAAGAUGGAUAGUUUUGUGCAGGUUUGGCCUCAACCACUUCUUCCUGUCCUACUGCUACAUGGACCAUGACACUCAGUUCUAGCAAAACUAUUGUAAAGUUGCAGGCCAGACCUGUGAAAUCCGAGGCUUGUCACAGGAUGGUGUUCAUGGUCUAUAAGCUUUUGAGAUGUUGUCUUGGCUCCUCCUUUACAAACAACAUUUAUGAUGAUAUGCCUCUAAGGGUUGUAGUUAAGAGUUGAUGUUCCAUGCUAUUCUUUGUUCCUUGUGCUGGUAAUUGAGAGGAGGGAGAGGGAGAGAGAGAUGGAGGGACAUCAAAGAGGAGUGUGGUAACCACAUAGGAAGACACGGUUGUGUUGCAGCCAG